ACGAACGCUGGCGGCAUGCCUAAUACAUGCAGUCGAGCGAACAGAUGAAGUGCUUGCACUUCUGACGUUAGCGGCGAAAGGGUGAGUAACACGUAAGGAAUCUACCUAUAAGCGGGGGAAAAAAUUCGGAAACGGGGGGUAAAACCCCAAAAAAUUCUCUUCCGCAUGGAAGAAGAUUGAAAGACGGCCCUGCUGUCACUUAUAGGUGAACUUGCGGUGCAUUAGUUAGUUGGUGGGGUAACGGCCUACCAAGACGAUGAUGCAUAGCCGACCUGAGAGGGUGAUCGGCCACAUUGGGACUGAGACACGGCCCAAACUCCUACGGGAGGCAGCAGUAGGGAAUCUUCCGCAAUGGGCGAAAGCCUGACGGAGCAAUGCCGCGUGAGUGAAGAAGGCCUUCGGGUCGUAAAACUCUGUUAUAAGAGAAGAACAAAUUGUAGAGUAACUGCUACAGUCCUGACGGUAUCUUAUCAGAAAGCCACGGCUAACUACGU
rnacentral:rRNA from 1 species